UACGUAGGGUGCGAGCGUUGUCCGGAAUUACUGGGCGUAAAGAGCUCGUAGGUGGUUUGUCGCGUUGUUCGUGAAAACUCACAGCUUAACUGUGGGCGUGCGGGCGAUACGGGCAGACUGGAGUACUGCAGGGGAGACUGGAAUUCCUGGUGUAGCGGUGGAAUGCGCAGAUAUCAGGUGGAACACCAGUGGCGAAGGCGGCCUUCUGGACGGUAACUGACGCUGAGACGCGAAAGCGUGGGGAGCAAACAGG
rnacentral:rRNA from 1 species